rnacentral:lncRNA from 1 species
AGGGAACAAAGCAAAGGGAGAGUCUUGGUGAGACAACGUGUAGGGAGAACUGACAGCCAGCCAAAAGCCCCAUCCAGCUACAAGAAGUUUGUAAGCAGAAUUAUUUUCUUAGCACGUCAUCAUGCUUCCUGCAGAAGCUUGGGCAGUCAGACAGGUUUUCCAUCCUGGUAGGCUAGAAAACAUGGGGUGAUUAUUUAGACAAGAUGGUGAAUAUUACUUGAUGAUUGCCUUGAAGAGAGGGCUGCUGACAGGGGAGAGGGGAGAAAAAGUCUGGAGGCAUGAAAAAGGGAACACUUGAGCCAGAUCAGUACUGGGUAUUUGAAGUCAGAUUCCUGUCUUUUUCCUAUGCCCGCUAAUUCUAAGUCCAAACUAGAGCAGGUUUGCCUACUUUUACAGCUGGAUCUGGGAGGUGUGUAAGUGCAUGUCUCAGGUUCAGCAGAAAGCAGGAAUUUUCCUGCGGUGAGCACAGUCUAACUGCAAGACUGGCUUUGUCCUGGCUCCAGCUCUCCAAGCCUUGAUUCUAUCUGGUGGUACUUCUACACUGAGGAGUAUGUAGAAUUAAAAAGUUAGAGAGUCGUUUUGAAGGUAAUUAGCACAAGAGAGGAGAGACCUGCUACUUGUUUCUGACAUACAGGUCCCACUAUCAGUUCUCUUAUGGAAAAAACAAAAACAAAAACAAAAAACCUCCAGAUGUUGCCUACAGACCCAAGCAGAUUUGUUGAAAUUAUUUCAGGUAGGCUGUGAAACCACACAGACAAAUAUCCAUCACUGGAAAACACUGGAAAACUGAUCUACAGACAAGCUUGGUUCUGACGGACUCUAUUGUGCCCCGCACCAGACUCCAGAACAUCUGUGUCAUGGGAUGACACCUCUCUGCUGGGGAAGUCUGUUCAAAUUUCUGUUCAGAUCCUCAGAUGCUGCUCCAAGAGAGAUGGCAGUGCAAAUGUAUGUUGUGAACUUGUUCCAAGUCGUACAGAUGUGAACAUUUCUCCAUGAAACCAGAGCUGGAUGCUGAAAUGUCCUGGGCAGACUGUGCAGUAACAUAACCUGUAACAUACAUACUAGCCUCUCGGGGCAGACCACCAAGACUACCAGUACCUUCUUUUCAAAAGCAUCUAAGACUACUGUGCUUCAAAUGAACAAAGUAGAGAACCGGACCACCGCCCCAUCCCCCAAGAAAAGAUCACCCUGAAGCCUUGGUAGUGGAGACAUGAGUUGUUCUGGAGACCUACCGAAAUUGGCUGUCAACUUCCUGCACAGUCAGGCUUUGGAUCAAGGAAAUGGAUUGUUAGUUGAGCAUACUCCAGAGCUGCCUCCAAAGGGUCCCAAAAAUAAGAGCUCUCUAGAAGCUGGAGGAGUCUGAAAGCAUUUACAGGACCAAACUAUCUUGAAAGAGGUGAAGAGGAAAAGCUUGAAUGCUGGUAGAGUUUGAGCUCCAAUGCAUAGAAGUAUUGCUACCAGGAAGAAAGAAGGCAACAGCUUCACAACUAGCAGCAGGAGUCAGGUCUGCUUUCUAACAUGUCCUUCUGGGAGCUCUCCAGGGCCUAGAGAGAGCUCAUUUCAUCAGCCUUUGCCAUAACAGGGGCACUAACAGAGAUUUUCUGCUCUCUUUGGUCACUAUUUUUCUUGCUAUUCAUAUGAACUUGGUAUCUUGGAGGCCGGUCCUUCAAAUUCCAGUUGAAGAUAUGCAACAGUUUCCAACAACUCCCAGAGGCAACUGUACACAUGGUGUGACCGCACAUGGAAAAAGAUCCUGGUGUGUUGAGAGGAAUGGCUACAGAGCCCUUCUGUGGCAGGUGCUGCUUUCAUAGAUCUGAUCAUCAGGAAGAAUCAUCUCUGAUGUGAAAGCGAUGACUGCCCUGUGAUGCACUGUGCAGCUGUCAGUGAUGUUUCACUUUGAGGCAGUCAGCAACUCAUGUCAAAGGUCUUGUUUGCACUUGAUGCUGCCUCAGAAAGCCUGAGUCACUCUUCACCCUCAUUCACCCUGGUUACAUACGUUUACUCUGUGGUUGUAUGGUGGUUGGGAAAGUCCUCAAGUACAAGGGAAGACAAAUCUGUCUUCUUCCUGAAAACUUAGUCCUACUGCUUUUAUAAUGAGAAAGCUGGUUGGCAUGUCAUUCCCAACAUCAGGGCUUGAAACACAAUGUAGUUUUACUGUCUGCCUCUGCUCAGGAAUCUGAGCUCCAAAACGUGAAAUACAAAUUACAUUUAUGUCAAAACAAAAUAGCAGGGAGUACACUCUCAGUUCCUGCUCUGGACCUAGGUCUCCAUCAGUAUGAAAGAAUGGAAUGAACAACCUUCUUUCCUAUUUUUCACUCUGAAGGGCGUUUGGGUAUUCAGCCAAAGUUUGCUGCUUGCUUCUGUUUGUGUACAUGGAUGUCUAUGAAACUUGAAUCCCUCAGUAUUUGCAUGAGUUACGAGCAUGUGCCCAGCUAAUUGCUGGCAUCAGCUGCAGUGUGUUUAAAGUCAUUCUCUGGUGGUCUGGUCAUGAAAUUGUACUUAUCCAUAGGAGCCUCAGUGCCACCAUUUUGUAUUGGCUUCAAGUUAUCUUCAACUACAGCCACCACCACCAGUAGUUCUGAAAGUUUAAAAUCAGUCAGUUGUUUGGAUACUCAUUAAGUCCUACAUUCUUAAAAAGCGAAACCUCUACAAAAGCAUCUCUGACAGCUGCAUAACAAAAAUAUAACUACUAAUAUAGCCAGCAUUGUUAGUUGAGCAUAGUCCAGAGCUGCCUCCAAAGGGUCCCAAAAAUAAGAGCUCUCUAGAAGCUGGAGGAGUCUGAAAGCAUUUACAGGACUGAACUGUCUUGAAAGAGGUGAAGAGGAAAAGCUUGAAUGCUGGUAGAGUUUGAGCUCCAAUGCACAGAAGUAUUGCUACCAGGAAGAAAGAAGGCAACAGCUUCACAACUAGCAGCAGGAGUCAGCCAGAGGUGUACCCAGGUGGCCAAGAAGGCCAGUGGCAUCCUGGCUUGUAUCAGAAACAGUGCUGCCAGCAGGAACAGGGAAGUAAUUGUCCCCCUGUACUCAGCACUGGUGAGGCCGCACCUCGAGUACUGUGUCCAGUUUUGGGCCCCUCACUGUAAGAAAGACAUCGAGGCCCUGGAGCGUGUCCAGAGGAGGGCAACAAAGCUGGUGAGGGGUCUGGAGCACAGCCUUAUGAGGAAUGGUUGAAGGAGCUGGGAUUGUUCAGUCUGGAGAAGAGGAGGCUCAGGGGAGACCUU